AAUGCUUGGGAACUCAAAGAAAAAGAGAUGACAACCGAGGAAGAAAGAAAACCGGGAGAGAGAGAGAGAGAGAACUCACCUGGAAAAGAGUUGCUGGAGAGCGAAAUGCAAGAUGAACAACUAAGAAAGCAAAAGAGAAAUGAGGAAAAGAAAGCUUAAGGAAAAAUAAAUGAUUGAGAGAGAGCUCAAAAAUUCAAUAAGUUGAGGUCACGCGCCAUUGUCUGCCUGAUUUAUCUGAUAUGUCCAGUCUGUCGGAUUUGCUUCUGCAGCCAUCUGUGAUCAGGUGCGUGACCAAGCUUAGAGGCAUCUACCUAGAAUCUGUUUUGUUAGCCAACCCAUGUGCCUCCCGUGGAGGUUCCGGAUAUGUCAAGUGAUUGUCGCUAAGUGUUAUAAAGUUUAAGUUCUGUUUUCUUGUUUGGUUAAUCAAGUCUGGUGUAUUUUUGUAAAUAGGCUAAGUCCCUUUUUGUCUAAUCUGUAUAUAUAGGAUGACUUAAAGUUGAUGUGUAUAUAUGUAUAUAAAUAGUUUAAAAUUUUUCUGUCUUAUAUAAGUCUGCACA